rnacentral:rRNA from 1 species
AGUGAACGCUGGCGGUAGGCCUAACACAUGCAAGUCGAACGGCAGCACAGUAAGAGCUUGCUCUUACGGGUGGCGAGUGGCGGACGGGUGAGGAAUACAUCGGAAUCUACUUUCUCGUGGGGGAUAACGUAGGGAAACUUACGCUAAUACCGCAUACGACCUACGGGUGAAAGCAGGGGAUCUUCGGACCUUGCGCGAUUGAAUGAGCCGAUGUCGGAUUAGCUAGUUGGCGGGGUAAAGGCCCACCAAGGCGACGAUCCGUAGCUGGUCUGAGAGGAUGAUCAGCCACACUGGAACUGAGACACGGUCCAGACUCCUACGGGAGGCAGCAGUGGGGAAUAUUGGACAAUGGGCGCAAGCCUGAUCCAGCCAUACCGCGUGGGUGAAGAAGGCCUUCGGGUUGUAAAGCACUUUUGUUGGGAAAGAAAAGCAGCAGGUUAAUACCCCGCUGUUCUGACGGUACCCAAAGAAUAAGCACCGGCUAACUUCGUG